GAUGAACGCUGGCGGCGUGCUUAACACAUGCAAGUCGAACGGGCGGAGGGAGCUUGCUCCCGAAGCUAGUGGCGGACGGGUGAGUAACGCGUGGGUAACCUGCCUCAUACAGGGGGAUAACAGUGAGAAAUCACUGCUAAUACCGCAUAUGCGCACAGUACCGCAUGGUACAGUGUGGAAAACUCCGGUGGUAUGAGAUGGACCCGCGUUGGAUUAGCUAGUUGGUAGGGUAGUGGCCUACCAAGGCGACGAUCCAUAGCCGGCCUGAGAGGGUGGACGGCCACAUUGGGACUGAGACACGGCCCAG
rnacentral:rRNA from 1 species